UGCAGUCGAACGUGAAAGCACUUCGGUGUGAGUAGAGUGGCGGACGGGUGAGUAACGCGUAGGAAUCUGCCUGAUAGUGGGGGAUAGCCCGGAGAAAUCCGGAUUAAUACCGCAUAGUCUAUUCGUAGUAAAGGGGGCCUCUAUUUAUAAGCUCUCGCUAUCAGAUGAGCCUGCGUCAGAUUAGCUUGUUGGUGAGGUAAAAGCUCACCAAGGCAACGAUCUGUAGCUGGUCUGAGAGGAUGAUCAGCCACACUGGGACUGAGACACGGCCCAGACUCCUACGGGAGGCAGCAGUGGGGAAUAUUGGACAAUGGGCGCAAGCCUGAUCCAGCCAUGCCGCGUGUGUGAAGAAGGCCUUCGGGUUGUAAAGCACUUUCAGAGGUGAGGAAGGGUGUGCCGUUAAUACCGGUAUGCUUUGACGUUAGCCUCAGAAGAAGCACCGGCUAACUCUGUGCCAGCAGCCGCGGUAAUACAGAGGGUGCGAGCGUUAAUCGGAAUUACUGGGCGUAAAGCGCGCGUAGGUGGUUUGUUAAGUCGGAUGUGAAAGCCCAGGGCUCAACCUUGGAAUUGCACCCGAUACUGGCAAGCUAGAGUACGGUAGAGGGGUGUGGAAUUUCCUGUGUAGCGGUGAAAUGCGUAGAUAUAGGAAGGAACAUCAGUGGCGAAGGCGACACCCUGGACCGAUACUGACACUGAGGUGCGAAAGCGUGGGGGGCAAACAGGAUUAGAUACCCUGGUAGUCCACGCCGUAAACGAUGUCUACUAGCCGUUGGGGAUUUUAUUCUUAGUGGCGCAGCUAACGCGAUAAGUAGACCGCCUGGGGAGUACGG
rnacentral:rRNA from 1 species